ACGAAGGGAGCUAGCGUUGUUCGGAAUUACUGGGCGUAAAGGGCGCGUAGGCGGUCUGAUAAGUCAGGUGUGAAAGCCCUGGGCUCAACCCAGGAACUGCGCUUGAUACUGACAGACUUGAAUUUGGUAGAGGUAAGUGGAAUUCCCAGUGUAGAGGUGAAAUUCGUAGAGAUUGGGAAGAACAUCCGUGGCGAAGGCGGCUUACUGGACCAACAUUGACGCUGAGGCGCGAAAGCGUGGGGAGCAAACAG
rnacentral:rRNA from 1 species